AAGAGCCGCAGUAUACUGACUGUGCAAAGGUAGCAAAAUAAUUUGUUUCUUAAUUAGAAACUGGAAUGAAUGGUCUAACGAGGAAAAAUCUAUCUCAAAAUUUAACUAAAAAUUAACAUAUAAGUUAAAAGGCUUAUAUACUUUAGCAAGACGACAAGACCCUAUAAAACUUAACCUUUUAAUAAUAUACUUAGAAUAUUUCAACACAAGGAUUUAACUGGGGCGGUAUUUAUAUAAGAUAUAACUAUACAAUUACAAACAUGUAUGAAUGAAAAAAUAAAUCUUAAUUUAAACCGAAAAAAAAGUUACUUUAGGGAUAACAGCACAAUACUAUUUAAGAGCUCUUAUCGACCAUAGUGAUUGUGACCUCGAUGUUGAAUUGGGACUCCAUCUAAAAGC
rnacentral:rRNA from 1 species